GCUGGGUGUGUUGGUGCACAUCUGUAAUCCCAGCUACUUGAGAGGCUAAAUCAGGAGGAUCACAAGUUCAAGGCCAUCCUCAACUGUGAAAUCCUGCUUCAA
rnacentral:sRNA from 1 species